AACGCACAUUGCACCCUCUGGUAUUCUGGGGGGUAUGCCUGUUCGAGCGUCAUUGCAACCCUCAAGCAUUGCUUGGUAUUGGAUGCCACCGUGUUGGUGCAUCUCAAAAGUAUUGGUGGUGGCAUUCAGCUUCUAGCGUAGUAAAUCUUCUCGCAUUGGAGUUUGAGUGUCUGAUUGCCAGAACCCCUAAAUUUAUUAAAGGUUGACCUCGGAUCAGGUGGGGAUACCCGCUGAACUUAA
rnacentral:misc_RNA from 1 species